AUUGAACGCUGGCGGAAUGCUUUACACAUGCAAGUCGAACGGCAGCACGGACUUCGGUCUGGUGGCGAGUGGCGAACGGGUGAGUAAUGUAUCGGAACGUGCCCAGUCGUGGGGGAUAACGUAGUGAAAAUUACGCUAAUACCGCAUACGAUCUAUGGAUGAAAGCGGGGGAUCGCAAGCCCUCGCGCGAUUGGAGCGGCCGAUAUCAGAUUAGGUAGUUGGUGGGGUAAAGGCCCACCAAGCCAACGAUCUGUAGCUGGUCUGAGAGGACGACCAGCCACACUGGAACUGAGACACAGUCCAGACUCCUACGGGCGGCAGCAGUGGGGAAUUUUGGACAAUGGGCGAAAGCCUGAUCCAGCCGUUCCGCGUGCAGGAUGAAGGCCCUCGGGUUGUAAACUGCUUUUGUACAGAACGAAAAGGUUUCUACGAAUACUACGAGCUCAUGACGGUACUGUAAGAAUAAGCACCGGCUAACUGCGUGCCAGCCGCCGCGGUAA
rnacentral:rRNA from 1 species